rnacentral:rRNA from 1 species
UGCAGAAUCCCGUGAACCAUCGAGUCUUUGAACGCAAGUUGCGCCCGAAGCCAUUAGGUUGAGGGCACGCCUGCCUGGGUGUCACACAUCGUUACCCUAAAGCAAACGCCUCAUGUGCGUGUGCAGGGUGGAAGCUGACCUCCCGUGGGCCACGACUCGCGGCUGGUUCAAAAUGGAGUUCAUGGUCGAGAAUGCCGUGAUAAAAUGGUGGAUGAGCGUUGCUCGAGACCAAUCGCGUGCAACUCGGUCGAUUUUGGAUUCUUUGACCCAAUUGCGUCCAUGGACGCUCCCAACGAGACCUCAGGUCAGGCGGGGCCACCCGCUGAGUUUAA